rnacentral:lncRNA from 1 species
CAGGAUCCCUUCUAUACAAAACUAAGCCAAACACAGUGAGUCCACCAAUUGGUUCAACGAGAUGGAGUGUGGUUUAAAAAUGACAAGGUUUACUUGAGCCCAACUUCAAACUUGAUUCAGAAAAUAAUUUUCGAUUGCCACUCAACACCUACGAGAGGACACUUUGGGUUCCAUAAGACUCUCUCCCGUAUUAAACUCAGCUUCUUGUGGCCUAAUAUGUGCAGGACAGUCAAGGAAUUUCUACAGCAAUGCACUAUUUGUCAACAGUACAAAACAAAUUGUAUGAAGCCGACUGGGCUAUUACAACCCUUACCAAUUCCGACUCAAAUAUGGACUGAUGUCUCAAUGGAUUUUAUUGAAGGAUUACCGCCAUUAAAUGGACAUACUGUCAUCAUGGUAGUCGUUGAUCGCUUAACAAAGUAUGCCCACUUUGUAGCCUUGAAACAUCUAUUUAUCGCAAUCAUUGUUGCCAAAGCAUUUGUAGCCAAUAUAGUUCGUCUCCAUGGCAUUCCCACAUCCAUUGUCAGUGAUCGAGAUAAGGUGUUUAUCAGCUCCUUUUGGCAAGCAUUAUUCCAAUUACAAGGAACCAAGCUUUGCAUGAGCUUAAGCUACCAUCCUUAAUCUGAUGGCCAAACGGAGGUAGUAAACCGUACCUUGGAGCAAUAUUUACGAUGUUUUGCAGGCGAUCGACCACGGAAAUGGCUGGAAUGGAUUCCUUAGGCUGAGUUUAGCUAUAACACAUCUAUC